UCUACUGUCUAUCUUUCUUCACCAUUUUUAUUCUAGUGUUUGAAUCUUACCAUCUCAGCUGUUCCUACAUGUUUAGUAUACCUAAUUUCCAACUCCUUUUGUCCCACUCAGUGUUGCAUUUGAAGUCUUGUUCCACUCAGAAGGAAUCGUAGAUUUUCUCAGAUCUUAAAGAUCACCAAGUCCAACUGCAACCUAACCAUACUACCUUAAUGAUCCUGCACUAAAUCACGUCCCUGAGCACUGCAUCCAGAAAGGCAAUAUAAGGUAUACAUGGAGCAAAGAAUUUACUGUUAAUUCAUUCUUUUUCUUUAAAUUAUUUUUAACGCUCUAACAGUUUAAUUAGCAAACACAAUGAAUUCUUAUUAUUAAUACAAGUAAAAUCAUUUUAUGAAAUCUUUCUAAUGUCUACACACUGCUUUGGUGUCAUCCUCACUGAGGCAUGGCCUGCUCCCUUCCCUACUAUGAGGUCACACACCAAGCACCCGGGCUGCUGGCCAUUGCCCAGCCUUAUGCUCACAGGGCUGAAGGUGCAGGCCGCAGGCAUGAGGCUGCUGGGCACAGGAAAGCCAGCCUUGGCCAACACCAGCACAGGCAGCUCAUAGGGCCCUUCUCCGCCACGGUGAAAGGAAGUCUGAUAUGCAUCAGCGGUGGGCAUGAGAAGUCAUUAGCCAACAUUUGAAGUCACUAGCCAACAUCUGGACUGGCAAAUUGAGAGAUUUCACACCUUGAGAAAACAAUUGCAUCAAUGAUUCAUACCAUUAAACUGCCCUGCAGAUGUCAAGAUGUAAACAUCAGUGGCCAGAUAAACUUUUA
rnacentral:lncRNA from 1 species